GAUGAACGCUGGCGGCGUGCCUAAUACAUGCAAGUCGAGCGAACAGACGAGGAGCUUGCUCCUCUGACGUUAUCGGCGGACGGGUGAGUAACACGUGGAUAACCUACCUAUAAGACUGGGAUAACUUCGGGAAACCGGAGCUAAUACCGGAUAAUAUAUUGAACCGCAUGGUUCAAUAGUGAAAGACGGUUUUGCUGUCACUUAUAGAUGGAUCCGCGCCGCAUUAGCUAGUUGGUAAGGUAACGGCUUACCAAGGCAACGAUGCGUAGCCGACCUGAGAGGGUGAUCGGCCACACUGGAACUGAGACACGGUCCAGACUCCUACGGGAGGCAGCAGUAGGGAAUCUUCCGCAAUGGGCGAAAGCCUGACGGAGCAACGCCGCGUGAGUGAUGAAGGUCUUCGGAUCGUAAAACUCUGUUAUUAGGGAAGAACAAAUGUGUAAGUAACUAUGAACGUCUUGACGGUACCUAAUCAGAAAGCCACGGCUAACUCCGUG
rnacentral:rRNA from 1 species